rnacentral:tmRNA from 1 species
GGGCUUGUUCGUCCAAACUUUUGGCCGCUAGGGGUUGGACGAAGACAUAGCUUAGCGGCUAAGCAUGUAGAAAGUUGCCAGUCAAUUCUUUCGGACCGGGGUUCAACUCCCCGCAUCUCCACCA